rnacentral:piRNA from 1 species
UAGUUGGUAAGCUAUGUGGGAUCUUCUC